CGGUGCUAUACAUGCAGUCGAACGCGUUGGCCCAAUUGAUUGAUGGUGCUUGCACCUGAUUGAUUUUGGUCGCCAACGAGUGGCGGACGGGUGAGUAACACGUAGGUAACCUGCCCAGAAGCGGGGGACAACAUUUGGAAACAGAUGCUAAUACCGCAUAACAACGUUGUUCGCAUGAACAACGCUUAAAAGAUGGCUUCUCGCUAUCACUUCUGGAUGGACCUGCGGUGCAUUAGCUUGUUGGUGGGGUAAUGGCCUACCAAGGCGAUGAUGCAUAGCCGAGUUGAGAGACUGAUCGGCCACAAUGGGACUGAGACACGGCCCAUACUCCUACGGGAGGCAGCAGUAGGGAAUCUUCCACAAUGGGCGCAAGCCUGAUGGAGCAACACCGCGUGAGUGAAGAAGGGUUUCGGCUCGUAAAGCUCUGUUGUUAAAGAAGAACACGUAUGAGAGUAACUGUUCAUACGUUGACGGUAUUUAACCAGAAAGUCACGGCUAACUACGUGCCAGCAGCCGCGGUAAUACGUAGGUGGCAAGCGUUAUCCGGAUUUAUUGGGCGUAAAGAGAGUGCAGGCGGUUUUCUAAGUCUGAUGUGAAAGCCUUCGGCUUAACCGGAGAAGUGCAUCGGAAACUGGAUAACUUGAGUGCAGAAGAGGGUAGUGGAACUCCAUGUGUAGCGGUGGAAUGCGUAGAUAUAUGGAAGAACACCAGUGGCGAAGGCGGCUACCUGGUCUGCAACUGACGCUGAGACUCGAAAGCAUGGGUAGCGAACAGGAUUAGAUACCCUGGUAGUCCAUGCCGUAAACGAUGAGUGCUAGGUGUUGGAGGGUUUCCGCCCUUCAGUGCCGGAGCUAACGCAUUAAGCACUCCGCCUGGGGAGUACGACCGCAAGGUUGAAACUCAAAGGAAUUGA
rnacentral:rRNA from 1 species